GACGAACGCUGGCGGCGUGCUUAACACAUGCAAGUCGAACGGAAAGGCCUGCUUUCCCUUGUGGAUUGCGGGUACUCGAGUGGCGAACGGGUGAGUAACACGUGAUUGAUCUUCCCCCAACUUGUGUAUAAGCCUGGGAAACUGUGUCUAAUUCUCGAUAGUACUGCAGGGUGGUGCCUGUGGUGGAAAACGAUUUUCUAGUGGUUGGGGAUGAGCUCGCGGCCUAUCAGCUUGUUGGUGGGGUAAUGGCCUACCAAGGCGGCGACGGGUAGCCGGCCUGAGAGGGUGGACGGCCACAUUGAGACUGGGAUACGACCCAGACGCGUACGAGAAGCAGCAGUGGGGAGUAUUGGAGAAUGGGCGGAAGCCUGAUGCAGCGACGCGGCGUGGGAGAUGACGGGCUUCGGGUUGUAAACUCCUGUGGAACGCGAGGAAGCCACCUGGUUGGAAGGGUGGUGACGGUAGUGGUAGAAGAAGCACCGGCUAACUACGUG
rnacentral:rRNA from 1 species